AACGAACGCUGGCGGCAUGCCUAACACAUGCAAGUCGAACGAGACCUUCGGGUCUAGUGGCGCACGGGUGCGUAACGCGUGGGAACCUGCCCUUAGGUUCGGAAUAACUCCCCGAAAGGGGUGCUAAUACCGGAUAAUGUCUUCGGACCAAAGAUUUAUCGCCUUUGGAUGGGCCCGCGUUGGAUUAGCUAGUUGGUAGGGUAAAAGCCUACCAAGGCGACGAUCCAUAGCUGGUCUGAGAGGAUGAUCAGCCACACUGGGACUGAGACACGGCCCAGACUCCUACGGGAGGCAGGAGUGGGGAAUAUUGGAAAAUGGGCGAAAGCCUGAUCCAGCAAUGACGCGUGAGUGAUGAAGGCCUUAGGGUUGUAAAGCUCUUUUACCCGGGAUGAUAAUGACAGUACCGGGAGAAUAAGCUCCGGCUAACUCCGUG
rnacentral:rRNA from 1 species